AAUUACACUUACAUCGUGCACAAAAUUUUCCUGGCUUUGCUGGCAAUCACCUGGAGGCAGCAUAGCGGAAGCUGCCCCUGAAAGAGGCUGUCUUGUGCUUUUGUACAACAAGUUGUAUGGAACAUUGUCGUGAUUCACAAGUCCUAUGGCUUGACAUCCAAGUGAGCUUUUCAUACAAAUAUGACGGCUCCUUACGCCUUAAAAGAUCGAAAAGAAGACAAGCUAAGUGAAAUUUGCGACGGUGUUUCAUUUUUAAAAUUGAAUGUACAUUUAAGUAAGGAGUAACGUGUUCUCUAAAGGGUAUAUCGAAGCAGAAGCGAGCACAGGCAUUCUGGAUUCUCUGUACAAGUCUCUGUGUUUUGGCGGUCAAACGAGGUCCAUAUACAAUAUCUGUGUAAUUCAACUUGGACAAUAUCAGUGACUCAGUAAGGCGAAUACGUAAAUCUACUCCCAGGUGAUCUCUCACAUUGUAAAGAAUUUUUAAGCGGUAAAAACAAUCUCUCACUAGUCCAA
rnacentral:misc_RNA from 1 species